rnacentral:lncRNA from 1 species
GUUUAUCUGAUUUCCCUUGGGGCAGGUCUCACAUUCUGCUUUGCAUUUUUUGUUUUUGUUGAUUGUCAGUGUGCCAUGCUUUGUAUUUUAGAUAUUUGGGUGUUUGUGCACAUGCCUAUCUUCCUGUGAGUACCUUCCAGCCAAACACCCUAUCUGACCACCCACAACACUCAGCACACAGUAGGCACUUUAUAGAUGCUUGCCAAACUAAUAGAAUUGGGGAGAAAAAC